GCCAGCAUGGCGUAGUGGUUUUAGCACUGGAUUAUGACUCUGAAGACUAGGGUUAAAAUCCCUGCUCAGCCA